AGUCACAGAGCAUCCAGGAGACAAAAGCCACACCAGCUAUUUUAACAGAAAGCAUUUCCUAUAAAGAUGUGUUCAGCAGGUGUUGGAGGACAGGAAGGGCAAAGGGAGCCAGUGAGAAACCGCAGAGGUGGUAACUUCAGGAAGCAACUUCUGCUCUAGUGCUGGGUGGGGUAGGGGGCGACCAGGGAAAGCGCUGGGGUUCUCGGGACCUGGAAGUCUGGAGGAGGCACUCCGUGAUGGCUCAGAAAGGUCCAUUCUGCUCAAGUGUGGUCUUCAGAGUGUUGCUCCACGUUCUCAGUGGGACUCCUGUUCUCUCCCCAUUUUCAUCAUGAGAAAAUGAUGCCUAAGAGUUGAUGGAAAUUCCUCUGAUGUUGGCCGGAAGUCUCUCAGGCUCAUUUGCCUCUUGUGUUAUCUAGUCUGCAGGGCCUAGUUGGGGACUGGAGGAACCACGGUUUUGCAACGGAGAAGGGGAGUGUGCAGCUGCAGGGGCUUCUAGGGAAAAGAUGGGAAGAGACCAAGGGGAUCCUUGAAGUUGCCCCUUCUCCAUCUGUUGCCACUAAAUGCCACCCCUUUGCUACCCCAUUGACACAUCUUGCCCCAGUGCUGUCUUCCCCUGUCUCCUCCACCCUUGCCCACUAUGCUCAGCUGGACUUGGGGCCCCUGUCGUGUGUAAUCAUGGAA
ensembl:lncRNA